GGAAAAUUAUCUCAGUUGGUAGAGCGCUCCCUUUGCAUGCGAGAUGUACCGGUUUCGAUACCCGGAUUCUCCA
rnacentral:tRNA from 1 species